rnacentral:rRNA from 1 species
UGACGGAGCAACGCCGCGUGAGUGAUGAAGGCUUUCGGGUCGUAAAACUCUGUUGUUAGGGAAUAACAAGUACGAAAGUAACUGCUCGUACCUUGACGGUACCUAACCAGAAAGCCACGGCUAACUACGUGCCAGCAGCCGCGGUAAUACGUAGGUGGCAAGCGUUAUCCGGAAUUAUUGGGCGUAAAGCGCGCGCAGGCGGUUUCUUAACUCUGAUGUGAAAGCCCACGGCUCAUCCGUGGAGGGUCAUUGGAAACUGGGGAACUUGAGUGCAGAAGAGAAAAGCGGAAUUCCACGUGUAGCGGUGAAAUGCGUACAGAUGUGGAGGAACACCAGUGGCGAAGGCGGCUUUUUGGUCUGUAACUGACGCUGAGGCGCGAAAGCGUGGGGAGCAAACCGGAUUAGAUUCCCUGGUAGUCCACGCCGUAAACGAUGAGUGCUAAGUGUUAGAGGGUUUCCGCCCUUUAGUGCUGCAGCUAACGCAUUAAGCACUCCGCCUGGGGAGUACGGUCGCAAGACUGAAACUCAAAGGAAUUGACGGGGGCCCGCACAAGCGGUGGAGCAUGUGGUUUAAUUCCAAGCAACGCGAAGAACCUUACCAGGUCUUGACAUCCUCUGACAACUCUAGAGAUAGAGCGUUCCCCUUCGGGGGACAGAGUCACAGGUGGCGCAUGGUUGUUGUCAGCUCGUGUCGUGAGAUGUUGGGUUAAGCCCCGAAACGAGCGCAACCCUUCAUUUUAGUUGCCCGCAUUUAGUUGGGCACUCUAAGGUGACUGCCGGUGACAAACCGGAGGAAGGUGGGGAUGAC